GACGUAGGGGGCAAGCGUUGUUCGGAAUUAUUGGGCGUAAAGCGCUCGUAGGCGGGACAGGAAGUUCGUGUUGAAAGACCUCGGCUCAACUGAGGGACCGGCUCGAAUACUCUUGUUCUUGAGGCAAUCAGAGGGUGAUGGAAUUCCCGGUGUAGCGGUGAAAUGCGCAGAUAUCGGGAAGAACACCCGUGGCGAAGGCGGCACUCGUGGGACGGUACUGACGCUGAGACGCGAAAGCGUGGGGAGCGAACAGG
rnacentral:rRNA from 1 species